AAUCGCAUGGCGUCGGUCCGCCAUGUUAUCACGCGUAACGUAGACGAUUACCGCCAAUUCUCUACCCGUGGUAGAUACGGUCAACCGUGGUGAGAUUAGGUAGGAAUUAGGAUUACGCACGCAUAGCUUUACGCAAAGAGUAACGCAAGUAACGACUUAUCGAGGCUAGCGAAAAAAAGCGGGCGUCAUUGAACAGUGAACGGUGAAGAAUCUUACGAUCGCGUUGGAUCGUACCUCGUCCUGAUCGGCGACUCGAGGUGAUGCUACCCUGAUUACGUAUCCCCCUCUCACUCGUCGCAAUGUCUGACCAUUACUGUUUUGUGUGUGCGAGCAACGAGGGUGUCUUCCUGGACGUCACGCCUGAUAAUCGAAGCACGUUCGGCGACCAGAUCAAGACGUGUUUGUCCACUAAGAGUAACGAGAGCAUCAAUCUGUCGAACAAGAUAUGUUACAAAUGCGCGUAUGAAUUAGAUCAGUGCACUAAGUUUGUACAAAGGUAUAAGAAUUCGCACAAGGUGCCGGAGCCGAAAGUUCAAACGUCAAUGCGAUGUUGCUUCCUGUGCUACGAAUUAGUGGAAAGUGACCGUAUCUUCGACAUUAGCAAGGAUAAAAGCAUAUUUAAUCCUUUACGGAAGAUCCGCAGUGUUUUCAACGAUGAUGUUAACAAGAAAAACAAUUCGUGGUUAAUAUGCCUAACAUGUCGAUAUAACUUGGAUGUUUUAUACGACCUAAAAAGGAUAUAUCAAGAUUCAUUCAACAAUAUAAAGGCUCUGAUUAAUGAAGAGAUAAACUAUUCAAAUUAUCCAAAGGUACACACAGAUGUUGUAAAUCGCAAAACAACCAUUACCACGUUUCCAGAUAUUACAUUUUAUGGUUCAAUAAAUUCCGAUAGCGAUAGUAACGAAGAGGACAUGGCACGUGGUAAACAACACAUUAAAGAACGUAAAGUGCGGAGUAAUGUACAAACGAAACUGCGAAGCAACAAGUCGAAAGUCAGGAAUUGCGACAAGUGUCAUAAUGCUGUUGCGAACGACAUUGACAUGUACAGAUUUUAUCACACGGGUCUAACGGUCUGCAAAAAUUGUUGGAUAACGAUGGAUCCGAGUAUUACUAAGUCGCAGCGACGAUCUCGCCAGAUACAAUUCAAGACAGAAAUGAAAUUAUGCGCGGUUUUUUUGAAAGAUGUACUGAGUCAUGAAUCACAUAAAAAAGAUAAAGAGAAAGAUGAAACACAGAUAGAGAAAGACAAAACAUGCAAAACAGAGAAAGACGAAAUACUCGAAACCGAAAGAGAUGAGACACACGAGACGGAGAAAGACGAAACAGAGAAAGAUGAAACACGUGAGACGGAGAAAGACGAGACACGCGAGACGGAGAAAAAUGAGAUACGCAAUACGGAGAAAGAUAAGACACAUGAAAUGGAAAAAUAUAAGGAUGAUAAUGCAUCGUCCGUUAAUUCUCAGGAAGAAGCAAAAUCUUCCGAAGAAAGUAGUUCUUUAAAUAUCUCACCUAAGAUGAGGAAUCACAUAGUUAAUGGUAAAGCAAGACGAGGUAGGAAACGGAAAAUUGACGUAGUGAGAUCGAGAAGUGAUGUCGAACGUACACCAUCGAAAGUGACAAGAGUCAGUAAUGAACACACAGACACGAACGAGGAGAAAUCGCCGAAAACGACGGUCGAUGCAGAACAACAGCUCGGUACUCAGUCGAUGAAAAAGCGAGGACGUAAAGGAAUAGAUAAUAGGAGUUCGGAUUCUGAAGGUUCCCAAAAGCAAAAAGCAUCUGUUGAUGCAGAGGAACAGUCCAAUACUCAACAGACGAAAAAGCGGGGACGUAAAAGAAUAGUAGAUAAUAGGAGUUCGGAUUCUGACAGUCCUCAGAAGCGAAAAAUGUCGGUUGAUGCAGAGCAACAGUCUAGCACACAUUUGACGAAAACGCGAGGACAUAAAAGAAUAAUGGAUAAUAGGAGUUCGGAUUCUGAAGGUUCUCAGAAACAAAAAGAGACAGAUAAAAUUAAAUUAGAUGAGAAUGUAAAUAAUACAAAGAAAAAACAGAAAAUUAAAGGAACAACCUCAAGCACGCGUUCUGAUUCUAGCGAUGAAAUACCUAUUGAAGAAAAUAUGAGUUUAAAAAGUAGGCUAAAAGUUAUGAAUUUGUCGGUAAAAGAAGAAAAAGAAAAUACCCGCAGUAGAACAAGAUCAUCUUCUCUGUCCAGUACAGAAAUGACAUCGACGGAAUUUAAAAGCCCGAAAUCUCUGUUACAGUCAGAAGUUAAAACGGAGUACACUUGCGACAAAUGUAACAAGAAAUUUGACACCAAGCUGUCCAGUGCGAAACAUAAAUUGACACAUCUUAAACAAGCUACGUUAAAACUGGAAAAGAUAUCUGUUACGAAUGCUACGGUGAAACAAGAAACAGAUCUCAUUUCACAAAAUGAGAUUUCCGAAGAAGCAACGUCACUUUUCGAUAGAAUUACAUCCGUCGAUAAACGUACCGAUGAUCCAUCGGAGGACGCACUUAUCAAUGUCAAAGACAAUCCUGACGACGAGCUUUGCAGUUUAGCUAAUACAAAAAAUGCAAAAGAAAAAAUGGAGGAAAAGAAAAGUGAUGAAAGCGGUGACAUGAACGAUAAACCGGACGUAGCGACGAGCGAAUUGCGCUUAAAAGAAGAAUCGACAAAUGAUGAAAACAUUGAAAAAACAAUAUCUGAAAAAUGUGAAAAUUCAGUCACGCUGGACGAUACAGUAGUAGAGAUAGGAGAUGAUGAAGGUAGACAGGGUAAAGAUGUAAAGGAUGAACAUACGAAGGAUGGGGAUAAGACAUCAAACAGAGAUAGUGACAAAUUUGAAGACAAUGAUGCACAGGAGGCUACUGUUACUAUACUGAAAGAUCAUAAGAACAUGGAGAAUGACAAUGAGAAGAAAGACAAAGAUGCAGAAAUAAAAAAUGACACGGAAGUUCCUUCUACAGAAAAAGAAAAUACUAUUAGUGAAUGUAAUAAUGAUAAAAAUGAUGAGGAAGCAACGAGUGAUAAUGAAAUAACUAGCUUAUCAAUUUUAUCAAAUCAUAACAUAACAAAGGAUAACAAGGAUCAAGACGAAAAUUGCGAAAAUAACUUAGAAAAUAACCUCAUAGAUAAUAGAGAUGAAAUAAUAGAAGAACCAGAAAUACAAAGCGAUUUAAUAGAUGAGUCUUCGAAGAUACAUAUAGAAGAGCCAGAAGAAAAUCUUCCAGAAAUUCUAUCGACUGAUGAAACAGAAACAUUAAAUGAAAAAAAUGAUUUAGAUGACAUAAUAGCCAUAAAUGAAGAGAUCGAGGAAUUGCAAGAACAACAAAAUAAAUUCAAUGAAAAAAAUACAGAAGUUGAAAUUAUUGCAGAUGAUGAAUCUAAUAGUGUAAGAGAUAUGCCAGAUCUUCUAAAUAGCGAAACGCACGACCAAAUGAUGGAAGACGACAUUGAAGAUGUUACAAUAAACAGCGAUGACGACGAAACGAAAUAUAAAAAAAAGAUGGAAGACACAAUCCAAACAGAUAAGAAUAGGAAAUUAGAAGAAGAGCUAAAGGAGCUCGAGGAGUUGGUAGACGAGAGUACUGCAUUGAAUAAUAAGUACGAAGUACAGGAAGAUUCAACUUACGUCCCGGAUAAUAACUCUGCGGAUGCUGCAACCGAGAUAUUGAAGGAAGUAUUUGAACUUGCUGCUGCUGAAGUUCAGCAGCGAGAAGAGAUUAUUACCACGAAGACUUUAGUAGAGGACGUCGGAAUGGAAAUGGAAACACUGGAGAACAUAUCACGUGAGAUACGCAAGAGUGCCGAUAUGCCGUCUUUGGAUCCGAUUAGCGUCAUGGACAUAGACGAUGAUGGUAUUAUGUUGAACUAAUUGUGCCUGUAGCAAACAAUCACUACUGUACAUUCUGUCCCGUUUUUAUCCGAGAAAUGUAUCUUCGUCGUGUAUGCAUCUAUUUGCAGCUACAAGGAGUUUAAAUUGAUUGAAAGAAAAAGAGUGUAAAUCGUCGAAUAUCUAUGGACGUAUACUUUAUCACAAACUUAUUCUUCAGUAUGCUGAAGUUUUCAAGUCCAAAAAACGCUUCUACGAUUUUUCCAUUGACAAAGCACCGUUAUUGCUUUCGGAUCGGCGGUUCCGCACUGCUGCACAAGAUGGAUAUAUUGAUCAAUGAUUUCUUGCCCUGUUAAAAAAAAACGAAGGCAUUUUAGAUGCGUCGCAUAUUACAGUUUACAUGUCGAAGAAGUAUAUAACUAGCCUUUCGAAACUCCGGCAAGAACUCGCGCUUUAUCAGCAUCGUUGCAUAAAUCGAGUUUGUUAUACAUCUCAAAGGAUUUUUCCAAAUGAAAGGUUGCAAUAUCUAGCCUCCUCUAAAAAGAAUACAGACUCGUUUUUACAUUGUUAACUCUCCAAGAAAAUAUUCUAUUAAUGUUUUACGAACACUGAUCAGGUAGCGCAUAUGUAUAUAUUUAAGGUAGAUAUAUUGGCCUGUAUUCAGAACGCGUUUUUGUCGAAAUGUGCGCUUUUAUUUCUGAAAUUCUAAGCAAGUUUGUAUAUGUAAUAUGAAAUAUAUAUGCUAAAUACGCACUACCGUUAUAAGUGCGUUCUGAUGGGCCAUUUUGUACAACAUAAGAAUUCAGGAAAAUGUAAUAAUUUCUCACAUAAGAUAUUCCUCGAUAAUCUUGUCAUUUCUAUCCCCUCCCCCUUUUUUGUGAUCCAACAUUUUAUGA